rnacentral:pre_miRNA from 1 species
AGUCCCUGUCCUCAAUGAGCUCUCAGUCUAGAUGGGGAGGCAGGCAUUAAUAUCUGACAUUAAUUCAGUCUUCUAGACUGCUAGCUCAUUGUGGGCAGGGGAU